rnacentral:rRNA from 1 species
UGGCUCAGAACGAACGCUGGCGGCAGGCUUAACACAUGCAAGUCGAACGGGCACUUCGGUGUCAGUGGCAGACGGGUGAGUAACACGUGGGAACGUACCCUUUGGUUCGGAAUAACCCUGGGAAACUAGGGCUAAUACCGGAUACGGCCGUGAGGCGAAAGGUUGACUGCCGGAGGAUCGGCCCGCGUCCGAUUAGCUAGUUGGUUGGGGUAAUGGCUCACCAAGGCGACGAUCGGUAGCUGGUCUGAGAGGAUGACCAGCCACAUUGGGACUGAGACACGGCCCAAACUCCUACGGGAGGCAGCAGUGGGGAAUAUUGGACAAUGGGCGCAAGCCUGAUCCAGCCAUGCCGCGUGAGUGAUGACGGCCUUAGGGUUGUAAAGCUCUUUUACCUGGGAAGAUAAUGACGGUACCAGGAGAAUAAGCCCCGGCUAACUUCGUGCCAGCCGCCGC